rnacentral:rRNA from 1 species
UGGGGAAUUGUUCGCAAUGGGCGCAAGCCUGACGACGCAACGCCGCGUGGAGGAUGAAGACCUUCGGGUCGUAAACUCCUUUCGAUCGAGACGAAUGGCUUCCAUCUGAAUAGGAUGGGAGUAUGACGGUACCGAGAGAAGAAGCCCCGGCUAACUCCGUGCCAGCAGCCGCGGUAAUACGGGGGGGGCAAGCGUUGUUCGGAAUUACUGGGCGUAAAGGGCUCGUAGGUGGCCAACUAAGUCAGACGUGAAAUCCCUCGGCUUAACCGGGGAACUGCGUCUGAUACUGGAUGGCUAGAGAUUGGGAGAGGGAUGCGGAAUUCCAGGUGUAGCGGUGAAAUGCGUAGAUAUCUGGAGGAACACCGGUGGCGAAGGCGGCAUCCUGGACCAACACUGACGCUGAGGAGCGAAAGCCAGGGGAGCAAACGG